ensembl:lncRNA
AUAUAUAUAUAAAUAGAUAGCAUAAAUAGAUAGAUAAAUAGAUAGGGAUUGAUAACUGGACAGUUACCAAUCCCAAAACUCAAAAGCGAUUAAGCCUAUGACCUGAGUUUUGGGAAGAGCAAGGCUACCUGUAAGCAGUCAUAGAAGGAGUGUCUGGGAAACCUGCUUGGAAACGAUUUAGUGGCACGGUACAGCAGUUGUAGGUGCAGACCAAGUCUUGAUGGCCUGCUCAGGACUGACAAAAACAUGUGUUAACAUCUUUAUUAACGAAUAACCAAAUCAAACCCCUUCUCUGACGCAGUCUGACGUGGUAACAUUUAACGAUAUCGAAAGUUAAGAUUUUAUUGUUGGUACCUUCAAAGUACUGAUAAUGAUUUAAAACCGUUUAGGACACUCCCGUCGCUAGUUCACGUCCAGUUUGAUCGUAGAUGCAACGUAGCACGAACGCAGAUUGAACCAAUGGGUAACAUGUACAGCGAGAACAAUAAUGGCGCCAAAAUUGAACCUUGAGGAACACCACAUGAAGAACAUGCUACAGAAGAGGAGUAUUGCCCAAUACUGUCUGAAAAUCUUCUGUUGGACAAAAAGGACCGAAACCAGACAAAUUGUUAAGGGUGCUCUUUCUUCAUUUAAAAGCAGACAAUGACCAGUCUCCGUCAAACUCUAUAACCCUGUGAAAUCA